UCAACUGGUUCUUGAUUUGUUGGCUUCGUAAAAGCAGGUGGGGAACUGGAGCUUGGCUUGGUUGAGUUGUGUGUACACAUACACGCUGCCUUUUGCUUUCUGAUGCAGCAUUAGCAGCAGCUUCUCUAUCAUCGUAUUGCUGUCUGUAAGCACCUGAUAAGGAGCAGGAAGCACUAGAAGAUAAGGAGAUGGAAGCUGCCACAGCUUUCAGCCUUGAGCGUUUGAAGGGGCAGCUGAGUCUUACAGAGAAAAUUGAAUGCUGCUUUCUUGUAAUACCCUUUUGCAGAAGGAGAGCCUUGGGAACAUGAUGCUUCUCUUGACUCAUCUGUGCAGUUCCUUGUACAAAAUGCUAAAGAACCAGAGAGCACUUGGCCAAGUGGAGGACAACCGGACAGUUUCCCAAUAAAGUUCUGCUCUGCACAGCCAGGAAUAGCAGGCCAGACCCUUCUGCUGAACCACAGCAGCGGACGGAGAACCCAUGCAGCGCCGAGUCCUGAAGCCCUGUGCACGUCUCUGCCUGCCUCCUGUCUGCUCCCUGCACAAGACCCUGCGAUUAGACUCCGUGCCUGUGUUGUCGGGUUUGCUGGUUUCAGGGAAGCUUACUGUACACAAAGAGGAGCUAUUUGUUUAAAUGGGUCUGUAGGGAAAGAUGACUGCAAUAAUUGCAGGCUGUUAAAUAUGCACGCUUGAAAGUUAAUUCAUGUACUGCAUUCAAAGCCAAAUAUCCAGGACAGAUGACUGUUUUUAAAAAUAGCCUGGUUAUUACAAAACAAACAAGGGAAUAUAGAUGAAACAGCAAAAGCCCACCUGAUUCCAGUACUAUAAAAAUGUCAGUGAUAUACAGUAGGGGUCUUCAUGCCUAUUUAACUAUUGCUUUUCUUCCAGAAGGUGUCAGAAACAAGCCUGCGCGCCGUCUUAGGCUUAGGCACUAGUAGUGUGCUGGCACUAGGACAGGGGGAAGGUGGUGGUGGUCCAGAUCAGCUCCUUAUGCCUGAACUCAGCUUUUUUUUUUUGUUCUUCUGGAUGUGAAACUUUUGUGUCUGAGUGUGAUUAAACAGAAUACAGCCACGUCAAUCAUGCUCACGUCCAGGACAGUUGUUCCAGUAGUAAUUCCUCAAGGCUUCCAAUCAGAAAGCGGAGAGCUGUGUGUACAGAACAACAUAUAGCACAGCAGGAGGAAAGAACAACUAUCUUGCAAAUGUAUACAUACGUGUCUAUAUGCAGGACAUAGCUGUGAAACGCUGACCUUUUCAUUCCCCCUAGAAAGUACUGGCAGUACUAGCUUCUUCAUUUCCUUUUCUGCUGUUUGCUGUAUGAGCUGCAGCAGUGUGGCCUGGCUGCUGCUUUGUAGUUUGUGCUCCCAGAGCCAAAUAUUGGUCCCAGUGAAACCAAGGGAGUUCUGCCCUGCAAGGGAGGGGGAACCUCUGUGAGGAAGAUUACAACUUGGCCUUGAUAGUAUCCAGUAGAUGUAGCCAGCAACAUAAAUCUAAUGGCAGAGCUCUGUAUUUCCUUCUAAGCGCAGCUCUCUUGAGGGUUAGUUGGUGGGAUGUGCAUUUGUUUUGAUGUUUGCUAGAUGAUAUUAUCAUGACAGAGGGUUGUUUUAAAACCAGAUACUGCAUUUACACAGGUCUUAUGGACAUCACUUAUAAAGAUAAUAUACCCUCUGCAACCAGCUGAAAUUGGAUGCAGA
ensembl:lncRNA